rnacentral:rRNA from 1 species
GAAUUGUGGACAAUGGGGGCAACCGUGAUCCAGCCGUCCCGCGUGUGCGAUGAAGGCCUUCGGGUUGUAAAGCACUUUUGGCAGGGAAGAAAAGACAUUGGCUAAUACCUGCAGCUGCUGCCGCUAGCUCCCGAACUAGCACCGGCCAACUACGUGCCAGCAGCCGCGGUAAUACGUAGGGUGCAAGCGUUAAUAGGAAUGACUGGGCGUAAAGCGUGCGCAGGCGGUUCGGCAAGAAGGAUGUGAAAUCCCAGGGCUUAACCUUGGAACUGCAUUCUUAACUGCCGGGCUAGUGUAUGUCAGAGGGGGGUAGAAUUCCGCGUGUAGCAGUGAACUGCGUAGAGAUGCGGAGGAAAACCGAUGACGAAGGCAGCCCCCUGGGAUAAUACUGACGCUCAUUCACGAAAGCGUGGGGAGCAAAC